rnacentral:rRNA from 1 species
AGUGAACGCUGGCGGUAGGCCUAACACAUGCAAGUCGAGCGGGCGUAGCAAUACGUCAGCGGCAGACGGGUGAGUAACGCGUGGGAACAUACCUUUUGGUUCGGAACAACACAGGGAAACUUGUGCUAAUACCGGAUAAGCCCUUCGGGGGAAAGAUUUAUCGCCGAUAGAUCGGCCCGCGUCUGAUUAGCUAGUUGGUG